rnacentral:rRNA from 1 species
UACGUAGGGUGCGAGCGUUAAUCGGAAUUACUGUGCGUAAAGCGUGCGCAGGCGGCUUUGCAAGACAGAUGUGAAAUCCCCGGGCUCAAACUGGGAACUGCAUUUGUGACUGCAAGGCUAGAGUACGGCAGAGGGGGAUGGAAUUCCGCGUGUAGCAGUGAAAUGCGUAGAUAUGCGGAGGAACACCAAUGGCGAAGGCAAUCCCCUGGGCCUGUACUGACGCUCAUGCACGAAAGCGUGGGGAGCAAACAGG